rnacentral:rRNA from 1 species
CCCUUAGACGUUCUGGGCCGCACGCGCGCUACACUGACGGAGCCAGCGAGUAUAAACCUUGGCCGAGAGGUCUGGGAAAUCUUGUGAAACUCCGUCGUGCUGGGGAUAGAGCAUUGUAAUUAUUGCUCUUCAACGAGGAAUUCCUAGUAAGCGCAAGUCAUCAGCUUGCGUUGAUUACGUCCCUGCCGAUUGUACACACCGCCCGUCGUUUCUUCCGACUGGUACUCAUUGUGAAUUGCGAGGAGAUUCUGUCAAAUCGUUGUAAAUGCUGGGUAUUGGAGGAAGAAAAAGUCGUAACA